CAGUGCCUGCGGGCGUCGGGUAACCCCCGGCGUCUCGCGACCUGGCCACCCGUGUCUACCUUACCUUCUGUUGCUUCGGCGGGCCCGCCUCCAGGGGUCGUCGGGGGUGCGCCGCGGCGCACCCCUGGCCAGCGCCCGCCGAGGGACCAUUUGAACUCUUGCGAAUCAGUGACGUCUGAGGUUAUUUUAAUAGCACA
rnacentral:misc_RNA from 1 species